rnacentral:pre_miRNA from 1 species
UAACUACUCCCUUUGUUCCAAAUUUCUUGUCUUAGAUUUGUCUAGAUACGGAUGUAUCUAAUACUAAAAUGUGACUUGAUACAUCCGUAUCUAGACAAAUCUAAGACAAGAAUUUUGGGACGGAGGGAGUACAUU